UGGGGAAUAUUGCACAAUGGGGGAAACCCUGAUGCAGCGACGCCGCGUGAGUGAAGAAGUAAUUCGUUAUGUAAAGCUCUAUCAGCAGGGAAGAAAAUGACGGUACCCGAGUAAGAAGCCCCGGCUAACUACGUGCC
rnacentral:rRNA from 1 species